GGGACCCUGACCGCCUGGGGGAACAAACAGCCGGUUUGGUGGACAUCCUGGUGGGGCUGCUGAUCCCUCAGGGCCCCCUGGACCACACCUUCGAUCUCCCGUCCUGCUGCUCCCACCACACAGGCGGAUGGCAAAAUGGUGCUCCCGGAUGUGUCCUCCACAGGAGGUGCAGACUGACGUGACAGCGCAUCCGGCUUAAUGUUCUUCGACCCUGGUCGGUAAGUGAGCGUAAAGUUGAACCGCCCCAGGAACAACGCCCAUCGAGCCUGGCGCGAGUUGAGCCUGCAGGCAGAACGGAGGUAAGACAAGUUCUUGUGAUCAUACUAUGAAUGGGUGAGUGGAACCUUCAAGCCAGUGUCUCCAUUCCUGUAGCGCCAGCACGACCGGCAGCAGCUCCCGAUUGCCCACGUCAUAAUUCUUCUCCGCAGGGGAGAGCUGGCGGGAGAAGAAGGCACAAGGGUGCAUCUUCUGGUCAGAGACUGUGCGUUGAGAGAGCACAGCCCCCACCCCGGAGUCAGAAGCAUCCACCUCCACAACAAACUGAACAGCAGGGUCAGGAUGAAUUAACACAGGUGCAGAGGAGAACAAACACUUUAGACGAGCAAAUGCCCCCUCAGCUGCCGGUGACCAUAUAAACGGCAUCUUAACCGACUUCAGCUGGGUAAGCGGUGUGGCAACUCGGCUAUAGUCGGAUAAACCUGCGGUAAAAAUUGGCAAACCCGAGAAAUCUCUGAAGUUGCUUUCUUGAUGUCGGAAAGGGCCAUUCGGCCACUGCCUUAACCUUGGCAGGGUCGGCUUUGAUCUGCCCCUUCUCCACAAUAAACCCCAGAAAACUAACAGAGGGAACAUGAAAAUCACAUUUCUCCGCCUUAACAUAAAGUCUAUUCUCCAGGAGUCUCUUUAACACAAUGUUUACAUGUUGUACAUGCUCAUGGAGGUCACGAGAAAAAAAUCAAAAUGUUCUCCAAAUACACAAAUACAAAACGAUUUAACAUAUCCCUUAACACAUCAUUUAUGAGUGCUUGGAACACAGCUGGGGCAUUGGUGAGGCCAAAAGGCAUGACCAUGUAUUCGAAGUGACCCAGGGGAGUGUUAAACCCUGUCUUCCACUCGUCCUCCUCCCUAAUCCUCACCAAAUGAUACGCGUUGUGGAGGUCGAAUUUGGUAAAGAUAGUUGCUUUGUGAAGGGGACCAAAAUGAUCAAAAAUCAAUGAGUGGAAGGGGGUAUUUGUUCUUUACAGUGAUUAAGGCCCCUAAUAUCGAUGCAGAGGCGAAGUGACUCUUUUCAACAAAAAAAAAUCCUGCCCCCAAAGGUGAAGAAGAGGGGCGAAUGAGUCCAGUGGUCAAUGAAUCCGUAAUAAAUUCCUCCAUGGCAUCUUUUUCAGGUCUGGACAAGUUGUACAAUUUACUGGAUGGGUAGGGGGCCCCAGGGAUCAAGUCAAUGCCGCAUUCAUACGGUCUAUGGGGCGGAAGGGAUAGAGCUCGAUCUUUACUGAAUACGUCCAGGAGGUGGUGAUAAACAGAAGGAAUGGGACUGAGAUCCACUGGUUUAGGUGGGGAUGGUGUGGUGGCUAAUGUGGACGGAAUGGCAAAAUGUAGGCAGUGUGAAUGACGAAAUAAACUCCAAUUAGUGAUGGAGACGGUAACCCAGUCUAUGUGGGGAUUAUGCAGUUUUAACCACGGGAGACCCAACACAAAUGGGGAACUUGGAGAAGGGGUCAGAAAUAAAAAAUUUUGCCUCAUGAUGGUUACCGGAAAGUUGCAAAGAAACGGUAAUAGUGCGAUAAGUGACAUGGCCAAGCAUCCUACCAUCCAGUGCAAACACCCUCUUCGGGUGAGGAAGGAGCUGAGAGGGGAUUCCUGACUGGGCAGCGAAAUCAAUGAAAUUAUCAUCUGCCCCAGAAUCAACUAAAAUAGAAAUAGGCAGGGUGGACGGAGUCCAUGAAAUAGUACCUUUAAGGAUCAGGCGGGGAGUAGACGAAACAACGACUGAAUGGCUCACCAAUGCUC
ensembl:lncRNA